rnacentral:rRNA from 1 species
ACGUAGCUACGCGUGAGUUGACCGCCUGGGGAGUACGGUCGCAAGAUUAAAACUCAAAGGAAUUGACGGGGACCCGCACAAGCGGUGGAUGAUGUGGAUUAAUUCGAUGCAACGCGAAAAACCUUACCUACCCUUGACAUGGUCGGAAUCCUNGAGAGAUCUGGGAGUGCUCGAAAGAGAACCGAUACACAGGUGCUGCAUGGCUGUCGUCAGCUCGUGUCGUGAGAUGUUGGGUUAAGUCCCGCAACGAGCGCAACCCUUGUCCUUAGUUGCUACGCAAGAGCACUCUAGGGAGACUGCCGGUGACAAACCGGAGGAAGGUGGGGAUGACGUCAAGUCCUCAUGGCCCUUAUGGGUAGGGCUUCACACGUCAUACAAUGGUCGGAACAGAGGGUCGCCAACCCGCGAGGGGGAGCUAAUCCCAGAAAACCGAUCGUAGUCCGGAUUGCACUCUGCAACUCGAGUGCAUGAAGCUGGAAUCGCUAGUAAUCGCA